CCUCUACUCCUGGGACCCCUGC
rnacentral:misc_RNA from 1 species